AGUUCGUGCCGACGAAACCUAGAGUUUCUUGCAAAUACUCAUUGUAUGUGGCACACAGAAGUUCAGUUUUGGGAAAGUUACGGGUACGCGAUAUAGAAAUUAUGGACAUUCCUCAAAUAGCGCAGCUCCUGGUGAACUUGGAUGCAAAACAAACGAUCACUACAAUAGAAACUACUUUUAGUAAUAAGAAAGAUAAUCAAGCGUAUGUGUUUACCAGUGGAAUGCAUAUUGUGGGCUUAGGAAUACUUGAGCCUCCAGAUGAAAUCGAUUUUCUACGCGGCCGUUACAAUCUAGACUCGUAUCAGAUACACAAAUAUCACAUCUAUGGUCAAGGCAUUAACGCUGGUUUUGCAACGAUCAAGUUUGCACUGGUCUAUCCAGCAUUCGAACCGCACUUUAGGUUCUUUUUAAGAGAAAUGAUGAGACUUUCUGGACAUAGUACGCUUUUGUGGAUGACGGCUUAUCGGAAU